UACGGGGGGAGCAAGCGUUGUUCGGAUUUACUGGGCGUAAAGGGCGCGUAGGCGGUCACGCACGUCCGUUGUGAAAUCGCUCGGCUCAACUGGGCGGGGUCAGCGGAUACGGCGUGGCUGGAGCAAGCUAGGGGGCAAUGGAAUUCCCGGUGUAGUGGUGGAAUGCGUAGAUAUCGGGAGGAACACCAGUGGCGAAGGCGGUUGCCUGGAGCUUGCUGACGCUGAUGCGCGAAAGCGUGGGGAGCGAGUCCGG
rnacentral:rRNA from 1 species